CGCAGAGGAUGGCUAAACUGCGGUCUUUGCCAACUCUGCAAAAGGGAACCGGAAUCUACUGCUCAUCUCAUGUUCAAAUGUCCUUACACUCUUAGAGUUUGGAACAUGGUCUUCGACUGGUUAGGAAUACAAUGGGCGACUCUGUGCUGGAGUAAUCUCCAGACUAUCAAGCAAUGGUAGACCUCAAAUGAUGGCAUGCAAAGGAACUCCAGGAAGGCCAACAACUCUGUGCAGAUGCUCAUAUGCUAGGAAAUUUGGAACGAAAGGAACGCUAGGGUCUUCCGCUCCAAAGCAUCACUUCCUUCUAGGGUGGUCGCGACGAUUAAGUAUGAGGUGAAGACUUGGGUUACCGCCGGGGCUAGAUUGUUGGGAAACUAA
rnacentral:rRNA from 1 species